GCUAAUACCGCAUAAUGUCGCAAGACCAAAGUGGGGGACCUUCGGGCCUCAUGCCAUCAGAUGUGCCCAGAUGGGAUUAGCUAGUAGGUGGGGUAACGGCUCACCUAGGCGACGAUCCCUAGCUGGUCUGAGAGGAUGACCAGCCACACUGGAACUGAGACACGGUCCAGACUCCUACGGGAGGCAGCAGUGGGGAAUAUUGCACAAUGGGCGCAAGCCUGAUGCAGCCAUGCCGCGUGUAUGAAGAAGGCCUUCGGGUUGUAAAGUACUUUCAGCGGGGAGGAAGGCGAUAAGGUUAAUAACCUUGUCGAUUGACGUUACCCGCAGAAGAAGCACCGGCUAACUCCGUGCCAGCAGCG
rnacentral:rRNA from 1 species